rnacentral:lncRNA from 1 species
UCCAAAUACAGCUGGCACAGUCAGAGCAUCUAUCAUCUCAUUCGCACUCACAGACGUCAUCUAGAUCCACUAUGUCAUCAAAAGGUGGUGGUGGAGGACAGAAGCCCGGCCAAUGCCCAAAUCGUAAGUACAUUCUGUUAACUAUUCAGCUAAAAUGUAUUUCAUUCUACAGAAUAAUUAUAAAGAAUAUUGAUAAAACAACUACUGAAAUUUAACUUGCGAGGUUUUACAGAAGUUAUCUCUUCGAUGCUUUUGUUUGUUUUACAUUUUGUGUAAUGCGAGAACAAUAUAUCUGUUUUACUUGUUCCUGAUCGAUUUUAGAACUCGUGCUAAAGUGGCUUAAAGGUUCUCUUUCUCAAGCUAUUUGUAACCAAAUACCGUUAGUGGAUUUCCAUCCAAGGAAAUCUAAUUUUUUUAAAGUAUUUUCAAUCCGACACCAUUACAUUCUUAGCUAAAACAUGCACAGAAGUUCAUUAUUGGCAUUUGAGAGCCCCAGAUAGGGUACAUACAUCUCAAAUGAAAAUCUGAGCCAUAACAUAAGAAAAUAUGAAAUCACAGACCCAAGAUAAAAGCAGACAGAGCAAUUACAUAGGAAGAGAGUAACACCACUCAGGUUAAUCCUUAAAGCUCUCCCUCUUUCUCUGUCUUUGAAUGAGACAGGUAAAAUCUCAGAAUAAUAUAUAUUUGUAAUAGAUAGAUCAUUGGGAUAUUACAUGCCCAUUUUAACGUUAGAAUCUACUGAGACAUGUUUAUGGGUUUACACAUAUUCUGGACCACCUGGAAUCAUCAGAUGGUAAGUUCUGGUUUUUGAACUUUACUUAAGUUUGACAGAGUCCCCCUUUCUUACUCUCCUUUCUCUAUUCACAUUAAUGUGUAGGCAAUUACGUGGAAUAAACAUAUAAAGUGUUGUAACCCAAGCUUUCUCUUUUCAGCUUGCUCACCAGUUGUGCCAUGUCCAGACCCAUGCAAAGAUCCAUGCCCACCUCAAUGCAAAGGUAUGUGCCCGCUAUGAACAAAACUGGUCACAAAAUCACAUAAUAUGAUUUUCAUUAAAUUGUAUGAUAUUAAAGCAGGUUUAUUUAACAUACACUAAUCUAAGUUCCAACUACAAAGCAAUUAAAGGAGUACAAAGAAUUUUAGAAAUGAUAUUCGACUUCUAAUAUAAAGAUUAUACCACUGGAGCUGGAUGCAGGCUUGUUGAUAAUAAUCUUGAAUACAUUCAUUUAAUGUUCUUUGUUCACUCACACUUCAAUUGUUUUAUGUUCCAAAGAAGCGACCCAUUAGUACACAUAGAUCAUACCAGAGAGAGGUGUUUCCUAAAAAGUGUGUGCCCUCCUUUAAUGGCACAUUAAAAGCUAAGGUGAUGACAACUUUGCUCCAUGUUUUUAUCAGAUCCAUGCCCACCUGAUCCCUGCCAGCAACAAGGACAAGGACAAGGACAAGGACAAGGUUAUGGUUAUGGAGGCCAAGGAGGCUACCAGGGUGGUAGUGGAGGAGGAUGUAAGAAGUAAAGUGCCAAACCUGGAAAUUCUCUUGACGAGUCAACAUCUCCUAUAUACAAUCUCAAAUCCAAUCAAUGUCUACUGAUUAAAAAAAUAUAUGUUUAAUAUAUCUUUAAAUUAAAUCUGUCCUAAUAAUGAAACCA